UCCAAACCACAAAGGUCAAGGCUGUCUGAUAUCUCUGCAUGGCCAGCUACUCUCAGGCCAAAAUAGAAACUAGAUGUACAGAAGGCGAUUCUCUUACUGUGUGGUAUAAAUCAGAACUCUGCAAAAUAAACUUUGGCACUUGCUUGAUACGUUCGCCUGUGACUCUCCUGUUUCCCACAUUCCCUUUCUUCAUUCUUACAUCCUUCAACCCUGUUCCCUCUUGUCGCACCGGCCAUGACAGGUGGCGCUCAAACAGAGACCUGAAGACAAGUGGCAUUUCAAUUGAGGACUUCGUAUCAGGUCGCACAGCAGCUGGACACUUUUGGCAUCCAGACUUUUCUCCUCCUCCUUAUGCUAGGUGGAAAGACCCCCCCUCGUGGGCACUUGGAAGGGUCCUAACCCUGUCCUCCACAGAGGACGCGGUUUUGCGUUUUUCCACAGAAUGAGGACACCCGGUGCUGGAUGCCAGAGAGAUGGUGCCGACCCCUCACCCUGUGACAACAAAUUGCAACACUGACCCUGAGUCGGAGAAAUCAGGGGAGGAGAAGAAGACGUCUCCCCCCCUUACAGCGGAGGGAUGUUUCAUGCAGAACUCUAGAAACUAGUUGCCGCCCUGGGACCAAUCAGAGUGCAAAUAGCCGGAAAUGGUUAUACUGCCACAGAAGACUUCAAUCUGACUUUACAGGCCUGUAUUCCUUAGACCCUUUUUACUGGUAUUGGGAUCGGGAUCAAUAAUCCUCACCUAUUUUCAACAAGAACAUCUAUUGUAUAAUAUUCAUUGUGACCAUUGUGUGUUAACAAAUUGUCUACAUGUGUCCCUGCCUUCAUCAGGUACAGGUCCCAUGACAGUGCUUAUAACUAUGCAACCUCCAUAUAUGUUAUUGCCUGUAGAAGUUACAGGACCUUGGUAUGCUAACUAUGGAUAUCAGUUUGCUUUGGAAUUAGAAAAACAGUUAAAGUGAACAUGUCUAUUUGUUGGGUUACUUAUAAGAGGAAUUGCAGCAUUAGUUUCCCUAAUAGCCACAGCCACUGUCUCUUCUUUGGCAUUAACUUCACACUGCAGAACAUGUUAAUACUCUGUCUUGAAAUGAAUCUCAUGCUUUAUCCACUCAGGAGACCAUCGAUAGAAAUAUGUUGGGUAGACUAGAUGGUCUUGAAGAAGCAGUAGAAUAUUUGGGAAAUCAAUUAUCUUUGCUCUGGACUCAAAAGUCAUUGGCAUGUCAUGGAGAAUAUCAACACAUAUAUAUUACGCCCUUACGUACAAAUAACCACUCCUGGGAAAAUGUUCAGAGACAUUUGCGUGGUACCUGGCAUAAUACCAAUUUGAGCCUGGACCUGGCUGAGCUACAAUUAAUGCCAUUGAAAAAUUACACUUGGACAUUAUAGACCCUUCUAAUAUUGCUGAACAAUUCCUGAAAACUCUCAGGGGGUUUAACCCUGGGAACAUUUUGCAACAUUCCUUUUGGCUAUUUGGUGUACUGCUCAUUUUAAUUGUACUAAUUACAAUCAUAUGGUGUUGUAUGUGUAACAGGUGGAACAGGUCAGCUGCUUUGACACAGGCGCAAAUCUAUUUUCUGCAUUUAAAACAAAAAGGGGGAAAUAUUGGGAGCCUCGUGCCUAGAAGGGGUUAACCCAAUAGAGCAACAGUUCUUGGGAACCUCUUCAACUGAGGACUUUCACAGGUAGCGAGCUAGAGUGCCACUGUGUCUCCCUGCUGAUUGUUAUGAGAACAUUGUAAGGUUUGGCUUGUUGCCAUUGCAGCUGCUGUCUCAAAACUAAACUAAUAAGGCUCCUGUGUUUUGAGAAUAUUGAGUUAUGGCCUAAGUGUCCAAACCACGAAGGUCAAGGCUGUCUGAUAUCUCUGCAUGGCCAGCUACUCUCAGGCCAAAAUAGAAACUAGAUGUACAGAAGGCGAUUCUCUUACUGUGUGGUAUAAAUCAGAACUCUGCAAAAUAAAUUUGGCACUUGCUUGAUACGUUCGCCUGUGACUCUCCUGUUCCCCACAUUCCCUUUCUUCAUUCAUUAAAAAAAAAAAAAUUAAAAAAAUGUUAAAGUCCCA
ensembl:lincRNA